CGCUAGCGGGAGGCUAAUACAUGCAAGUCGAGGGGUAGAACCGACUUCGGUUGGUUUGAGACCGGCGCACGGGUGAGUAACGCGUACGCAACCUGCCCUUAACAGAGGGAUAGCCCUGGGAAACUGGGAUUAAUACCUCAUAGCUUGUUCGGAUCGCAUGGUUUGAACAAUAAAGCUCAGGUGGUUAAGGAUGGGCGUGCGUCUGAUUAGGUAGUUGGUGAGGUAACGGCUCACCAAGCCAACGAUCAGUAGGGGGCGUGAGAGCGUGACCCCCCACACGGGUACUGAGACACGGACCCGACUCCUACGGGAGGCAGCAGUAAGGAAUAUUGGACAAUGGGCGAGAGCCUGAUCCAGCCAUCCCGCGUGCAGGAUGACGGCCCUACGGGUUGUAAACUGCUUUUCUGCACCAAGAAACCUAUCCAUUUAUGGGUAGCUGACGGUAGUGCAGGAAUAAGCACCGGCUAACUCCGUGCCAGCAGCCGCGGUAAUACGGAGGGUGCAAGCGUUAUCCGGAAUCACUGGGUUUAAAGGGUGCGUAGGCGGGCUAAUAAGUCAGAGGUGAAAGGCUGCGGCUUAACCGUGGAAUUGCCUUUGAUACUGUUAGUCUUGAAUCGGGUUGAGGUAUGCGGAAUGUGGCAUGUAGCGGUGAAAUGCAUAGAUAUGCCAUAGAACACCAAUUGCGAAGGCAGCAUACUGGACCUGAAUUGACGCUGAGGCACGAAAGCGUGGGGAGCGAACAGGAUUAGAUACCCUGGUAGUCCACGCCCUAAACGAUGCUCACUCGAUAUGCGGCUUUAGCUGCGUGUCCAAGCGAAAGCAUUAAGUGAAGCCCCUGGGGGAGUACGUCGGCCACGAUGAAACUCAAAGGAAUUGACGGGGGUCCGCACAAGCGGUG
rnacentral:rRNA from 1 species